UACGAAGGGGGCUAGCGUUGCUCGGAAUUACUGGGCGUAAAGCGCACGUAGGCGGUCUUUUAAGUCGGGGGUGAAAUCCUGGAGCUCAACUCCAGAACUGCCUUCGAUACUGGAAGACUUGAGUCCGGGGAGAGGUGAGUGGAACUGCGAGUGUAGAGGUGAAAUUCGUAGAUAUUGGGAAGAACACCCGUGGCGAAGGCGG
rnacentral:rRNA from 1 species